rnacentral:tRNA from 1 species
GGGUAUAUAGCUCAAGUGGUAGAGCGCAUGCUUAGCAUGCACAAGGUGCUGGGUUCAAUCUCCAGUACCUCCU